UCUUCUCAAAUGCGCUACCUUUCUCUUAUGUCUCUCUUUCUACUUCGACAAAAAAACAACAAGAAAAGAAAAUGCUUCACUGAAAAUGAAAUUCCCACACAAAAUCUCAACCUUUCCACACUGCAAUCGUGAAACUUCAACCAGAUUUAACCAAAACGUAACUACAAUCAUGAAUCAUUUAAAUCCUUUUCGAACCCUAAACUUUCAGAUCGAAAAAAAUCCACCGUGCCGGUUUCUCUCAGGCCACCGCGAGCUUCAUCUCCUCCAAGGCGUGACAGCAUAUCCGGUUCAAGAUGAUGCCUUGAAGACUGGCGAACUUGACUAUGUCAGUGCAGGUAUGCAUGAAACUUAUACGGUUGUUGAAUUCUAAUUGUUAAUUUUUUAAGUUAUUAACUGAUAAUAUCAUUUUAUUUAACUAUUUUUCAUUAUUUAAGCUGCACUUGUUUGAUAUUCCAUAGCAGGAAACUUUCUAGGAAUAUCUGAGGUUGAUACUUCUUUUAAUUCUAUGACUUUGUUCUCCUUUAAUUCCAGCCAGUUUGGUUGCUCUCAUAUACAUGCGUUCUGUUGAGAUGUAUGAUUAAUAUGCCUUCACAAAUUUUCAGGUUAAAGUCGUCACCGUCCAUGGCACCAAUAAUUACUUUGUGACUGCAUCACUUGAUGACACUUGUCAAACUCAGGUCUGUUUUCAGACACUUGUCUGACUCAGUUUCAUGCAUGUAUGAGUCUAGAUAGUUUAGCUGGAAAUGUCAUGCAAGAAACAGUUCAUGUAACAGUACCGAGUUUCCACUUGUCUGACUCAGCCUAACCCCAAGGGACUGGGUGUUAAAUGUCUGGAUAGCUGUAAUGUACUUUCCAUUGGAGACAUAAAUUAGUAAGAGUGAGGGGAGGGCCCUGAUAUCCGUUCUUAUUGUAGAAAUAUACUCGUGCUGAGAGACAGGAAUUAUGUGUGUGCUUCUUGACAUAUUUGUUAGUUGGAUUUUGAAUGACAAAUGGAAGUUAUUACUAUAGAAAAGCCCUUAAAUAUAAACAAGAGAAUUUCAUUUUAAUGCUCCUGUUACACAUCUUGUAUCAUAGAUUCACUUUGUUGUAAAAGACAAUGAUGUCGUUGGUUCACAGGUUAUCGGUGCAUUGGGAAUUCCGGUUGAGAACUUAUGUAAUGGUUCCAAACUUGAAGGUGUUUUCCCCAUUCUUAACACUAAUGGAAAGCCCUUUAAGACUACUACAAUUUUGAGCUUAUCAAUUCAGUAUACUCCUGUUGAUAAGGUAACCCUUUAUAUAAACGGUGUCGGUGAGGAUUAUAUAUGUGUUCAGCGCACAUGAAGCUCUUAACCUUUUUAUACUAAAUCCUGGUACCUUAAUUAAUAGGUGCACUGUAGCUGUAAUUCAAAUUGUUAUGUCUGAGUUUUCCUCCUAAACAGUCCUCGUAUCCUUUAAUUUUUAGUUGAUUAAGACUAUGGGCUCAAAUGAUGCUAUUGUGCAAAGGCUCUUUACUCAUGGUCCUAUUUAUGAAAGGAAAUUCCCGUCUUUAUGAUUAAUAAAAUACUUAUAAUGAAAUUGUAAUAAAAAUUCAAUGGAUAUUCAUAUAGGUGGAGCUUUUGCACUAUACUCAUUGAUUUGUAGGCAUAUAAAAGUGAGUUUGGCACCCAAUCAACAACUAGAGGACAUGGAGCUUUCUAACUACAAACUUAAAAUACCAUCUUACAAGCAUAAAAGAGCCAAUAAAAUUAAGCAAAUGAUUGAGCAUAGUCACUUUGCUAAAAUUGUUCUCUUACUUCUAGCUAUCAUGGGAACUUCCAUGGUUAUAGGAGAUGGCACUCUCACUCCUUCCAUUUCAAUACUUUCUGCUGUUAGUGGAAUCAGUUCAUCACUAGGUCAAAAUGCUGUUAUGUGAAUUACUGUAGAAUUUUGGUGGAAUUGGUCUCUACAAUUUAUUUAAACAUGACCUUGGAGUAUUAAAUGCUUUUAAUCCAAAAUAUAUAGUUGAUUAUUUCAAAAGAAAUGGUAAAGAAGGUUGGAUAUCAUUAGGUGGAUUCUUCCUAUGUAUAACAGAUCCUUUGUAUUGGCCUACAUUUGACAGAAGGUUUCAGCAUCAAAAGCUCUGCCCCAUCACACACCCACGGUAUUCAGCCCUUAGGCAAUCUCUAUUCAAAGUUAGAGACUUUUAUUCUGAUUAUCUUUUCCAGAGUUGGUUGUGUGCUAAUUGAAAUGAAACGUGAAUGGUUGGAGAGGGAUAAUAUUGUUUGAAAGAAAGGCUUUUCGGUUGAGGAAUUAGUGAUGAAUAUCCAAAAUACUCUCCGAGUUUCUUCCUAGUCAUGAUGGUGCAGAGGUGGCGUCUCCUGUUUUAAUAAUGGAAUGGUUCAUGAACUUUUAUGGUGCCGCAAAGAAUUGGAAAAAGAGACCAAUUGAUUGCAUAUGUCAAGCCGGGGAAGUCAUAUUUAUGCCGAAUGGAUUGUGGCAUUUGGUGAUCAACCUGGAGGAAUCUAUUGCCAUAAUACAAACUAUGUUAGCAGGUCUCCUAUCAGGUCAACUGAACAAUUUGGCGAAAGGAGCCUAUCAGGUCAAUUGAACAAUUCGGCGGAAGGAUCCUAUAAAGAACAUCCACUGCAUUCAUUUCAACAUCUGCAACAGCAAGUGCAUUAGAUGGAUUUUCACUCAGUAACCUAACAAUGCAGCAAUUAGAGUUAGUGCCUAUUUGUACCAAUAUUUACUACAUAAUUUCACUUUUAAUUUUUUUUGGCACAAGAUUGGUAAGUUGGGGAAUGCCAUUAUUAUUAUUGUUUUAAUGUUGUAUCUUAUUUAGUAGAAGCAAUUCAUAUAUCUAGUGGAAGGGACUCAUAUUUUGUAAAUUCAUGAGUUUUCACAUUAAAUUAUUGCUUAAAAAAAUUAC